rnacentral:rRNA from 1 species
GAUGAACGCUGGCGGCGUGCCUAAUACAUGCAAGUCGAGCGAAGCGGGGACGGAUGAGUAACACGUGGCUAACCUCCUAUAAGACUGGGUUAACUUCGGGAAACCGGAGCUAACCCGGAUACUUAUAGGUUGAUCCGCGCUGCAUUAGCUAGUUGGUAAGGGAACGGCUUACCAAGGCAACGAUGCAUAGGCGACCUGAGAGGGGGGUGGGCGACACUGGAACUGAGACACGGGCCAGACGCCUACGAGAGGCAGGAGUGGGGGAGGUGGCGGAAUGGGCGAAAGGCUGACGGGGCAACGCCGCGGGAGUGGUGAGGGUGUUCGGGGCGUAAGACUCUGUUACUAGGGAAGCGGUAGCUAAUCAGAAAGCCACGGCUAACUACGUGCCAGCAGCCGCGGUAAUAC